UUUUUUUAAUGUGUGAAAAUACGGGGCUGGAGAGAUGGCUCAGAGGUUAAGAGCACUGGCUGCUCUUCCAGAGGUCCUGAGUCCAAUGCCCAGCAACCACAUGGUGGCUCACAACCAUCUGUAAUGAGAUCUGGUGCCCUCUUCUGGCCUGCAGACAUACAUGCAGGCAGAACAUUGUAUACAUAAUAAAUAAAUAAAUAAAAUCUUUUUUUAAAAAAUGUGUGAAAAUACAGGGUCUUAAUAUAUAGCCCUGGCAAGCCUGGAACUCCUUCUGUAGACCAGGCUGGCUGUGAACUCACAGAGAGCCACCUACUUUUGCCUUCCCAGUGCUGAGAUUAAAGUCGUCCGCCACCUUAUCCAGCUUAUCAUUGCUUUUGGCCAUACAUGAUUGGGUGUAGCUUUCAUUUAUGAUUAUGUGCUUAAGAACUGUUGAAAAAUGAGAAGAGCUUUUUCAAAGUGACGACAUAAUUAGAAAAUUAUGUUUAUAUUUCCAUAAAUUGGUGUGCUGUUAUAUUGUGCAGUCGUUUAGUUUUAAAAUUGCUCCCAGGUUUUAUUUUAUGGUUCCAUUUUUUUUUUACAACUAAUGGAUAAACAUUCUCUAUCCUUAGUAAUCCACUUUUUAGUUAUUCAUUUUGCAUUGUGUGGAUUGGGAGAAGGUUAUGCACCUACUAUAUGCUACUCAUUACCCUCUUGACCCACGUGUGAUGUAGUUGCACCAAGAAAGCCACACCAAAGUUAAAUGUUCUUCAAGGCUUCCUAGUUGAUUCUCACUUCCUGACUAUGAAGAGUUGCAAAUCCAGAGCCAAGGUUCAGUAGGAUUGUCUUUAGUUCUCUUAAGAGCCUACUCACUGCCCAACUCUGACUUCAUUUUGACUACAAGGUAAAGCUUUUGGAAUGGGUAAACGUAUCAGAUAAGCUUCUGCUAACCCAAAGCCAAGCUAUGUCAUCAGAUAACAUCCAAAGCUCCACAGUUUUCUCCACAUUACUGUAAACUUCUCACCUGCUGUCCCCGCCAAUAUAUUUGGAAAAGAAAUCCUUUGAUUUAUGACUUUGUGUUGCCUAACUAUACAAACAAGGGAAUGGCGGCAGUGGCCACACGCCUUUAAUCCCAGCGGAGCCAGAGUUCGAGGCUAGCCUGGUCUAUAGAGCGAGAGCCAAGACAGGCACCAAAACUACAAGAGGAAUCCUGUCUCGAAAAACCAAAGGGGGAAAAAUGUAUGUAGACAAACAAGGGAAUCUGUUCCAUCUUGAGAUGUGCUAUUUGGAGCAAUCUGAAUCUGUGCCUGACCCAUGGCCACUUAUAUUUAGCUCAAGAAAAAAAACUGUUUUGCUCCAUUUGGGAUAAGAACUAUGUUUUCGCAUCAACACUUUAUGGUGCAGGCUCGCCAUGCUGUGUAAAUAUUGUUUGCACUUUAUAGAUGAGCACACCGAAGCCCCAUGUUUUAAUAAUCCUUAGCACUCAGGAGUGGUAACUGCACUUUGAAACUGGAACAUGUUUCCAUCCAUAUUCUUACUUGAAUGUCCAGACAAGGAUUUAAAGCAACAUUUGAAAAGACAAGGAAAUUAGCUGUCUGAAUAUGUUUAAGUAUGUAUAUAUUGUGUAUGAUUUACUACAAUGAGUCUUUAUCAUGGAAAUGUUGAAGGUGCUAAAAACGUAACAAUACAAAAUCAGGUUUUGCUGGGCGGUGGCGCACACCUUUAAUCCCAGCACUCAGGAGGCAGAGGCAAGCAGAUCUCUGUGAGCUCGAGGCCAGCCUGGGCUACAAAAUAAGUUCCAGGACAGCCUGGGCUGUCACACACAGAAACCUUGUCUUGAAAAAUAAUUUUUUAGUGAAAAGGUUUUAUUCUUAGCUCAGCCUCUCUUUCCCUAGCUGUGUUACUCAAGACUGACAUUUAAUUUUUAAUAAAAUAAAGCAAAGCAAAGGUUAUCAUUAGAAACAAGAUGCACUGUCAGGGUUUUCAGACAUUGCCGUAUUUUAGCAUUUGUAAAUUCAACAAAGCAUUCAUGAGACAAUGUGUAGUCUGGUUUUUUUAAACACCUUUAUGUAGACAUGACUACUCUACAUAAUUAACUAUGAAUUUUAUAAAAAUGUUAUUGCAACAGAGUAGCUGAUGAUCUUCCCCCAGCUUCCGUGAAAAGACUUCCAAACUGUGGUAGAACGGGUGUGGCUCUUUCGAGGAUCACAAUCCCUUUGGUUUGCAGGUGGAAGCCCACAUAUCUCCUUGUGUUUGUAGACCCUUCAGGUGACCUACUGUGUCAGGAUUUCUGACAAUUUUAGAGAGGCAGUCAAUCAGUAUAAACUCAAAGACUUUGUACCUGGAAUCUUCACCAACCCAGCGAGGACUCACGGAACCCCACAGUGGCACGUAGCUCACUUCUGGACAGUAGACUAAAGGCUUCAAGCAAACUGAUGCUGGUUCACGACAUGGCUUGCUCUGAGUUGUACUUUUAGAAACUGGGUUUUUGUAGCUACCUUGGUGCAUGUGAAUCCCAACUAUGAUGUAAUGCCUUGAACCACAGUCUUAUGAGCCAGGGAGAGAACGAAAAGUUCCUGUAGAGUUUGGACAGCUGAUGAUACUUCUAGCCAGGGACCCUGACAAAGCCCAUGCACACCAUUGCUUCCUUUGAAGCUCCUGGAUGUGCUCAUAUGUGUUGCAGGAUAUUUGAUCACACUGUGAACCCUGAGAUUGCGUUAUUUACUGGAAAAACCUGUUUCUAGUUGUGGCAUGGUUCAGUCCUAUCACACCCCUUUAAAAGAUUAAAUAAAAUCAACCAGAGAUCAACAGGCAGGGCAAGUGACCAGUUGACAGAAAAAAAAAGCCGUAAAGAGUGAGUGGAAGUAAGGGAGAUGGAUAGAGAGACACACAGGAAGUAGUAGGGAGGGACUUUGAGUUUGGUGGUCCUUUUUGGUUUGGGAUAGCGGAAGAGAAGCUCUCUUUGUUGGAAGGCAGUAAAAGAGGAAGCAGCUACGUGCUUUUUCUGCCUCUCUGAGCUAGCAGGUUUUCACCCCAGCAUCUGGGUCCUGAGUCUUUAUUGGUAAAAUAAAGAAUAAUAGAGACCUAGUUACAGAAAAAUUUGGUGGCAGUGGCGGGACAUAGGUAGAAGUCCUCCUGCCAGACCUUAGCCUGAGUAGCGGUCAGCCAUUGCAGAGCUGCAGUCGGUAGCUGAGACAGCAGUAGAUUCAGGUGCAGCCUCUGUGCCACCAGUAAAACAACACAUAUGCAUGAUCUCAUACACACACAUGAGUAUUAGGGGUGCACUUGUGCCUCACUAAUACAUUUGUCAAAUUCACACCUAAUACAUACUAUAGGACAGCCCUGUCUAGACUUGCGGUUGCUUCACGAAUGCUGUGUCAGCUUGUGAAAGCUAAAUGGAGGUCAACUGGAAGACUGUAAGUGAUGAUGUGCCUUGUUUCUUGGUUUACCUGAUAGCUGCUACCACUGGCAAAUGUGUUUUUUGUACAAAUUGUUUCCUCAUGGUUGGAGUCCGCCUCUGUCUCCGGUGCCUAGAAGAAUCUUCUCGCGCAGCCUUCAAGACUCAGUUUAGGAGGUGACAUCUUCGAUUGCCUCCCCGAAGUUUACUCAGCACGUUGGCACAGGCAGCUCCAGUGUAGCUUUCCUGGCUGCUGGUGUUCCUGUCGCUCAGCUCACCUUCUACUCUGUGGCCAAGGCUUCGUGCAAUGCUGAUACUCCACACAGGAGGAAUUCUCCGUACAGGUCAAGAUGAAAUUUCCUCCCACUUGGAGUUUUAAGGUAAUGAAUGUCAGCUCUCUGCUUGGAAGAAACCAGUGUCACUAUGACCUCCAGGGAUCAAGUCUCUGCUGUGACUGACACAGGGUGAAUUAUCCACAGUCCUGUGGUUUCCAAAUUUUGCUGUGCAUCUGAGUUACAUAGGGGUUUUGAAAAAAUACAGAUUGCUGUCUUCUCUCUGUCCAGGUUCUAGUUCCGCAGAUCUGGAUUGAAGACCACGAACUUACAUCUCUCAUGACUCCCCAGUCUCUGGCAAUAGCUGGUGCUUUGGUCUGGCAACUAUGAUUUGAAACCGUGGAGUCACAGAGGAACAAGAUUAUGAGAUAAGUUUUGGACAGGUAGAAAUAUUUUUUUUCUGGGAUCUGUCAAAUGAAGAACUAGAUAAAAGAAUGAGGGCCGAGGUGGAGAUGGGUGAAUGUGGGUACUUCUUCCAUAUAGAACUUGAAGUUGGAAUGUGAAAGGCAUCACGGGAAGAGAGAAAACAGGAAGGAAAUGAGAGCUGGUGAGAUGAGUUAGUGUGCAGAGGUGCUUACUGUCAAGCAUGAUGACUGGAGUUCCGUCCCCUGGACCCACAUGGUCGAAAGAGAGAAAUGACUCCCCCAAAUUGUUCUCUGGCCUCCACACACAUGUCAGGGCAUAGACUAUUGUUAACAGUCUCCUCCAAGAUUGAAACAUUCAAUCCUGCAAGGAUGCUUCUUAAGACAGGAAGUAGACAACUCAAAAUAGCUUCAGGAAGUCCCUGAAACUGAUCAGAUUCACUAGGCUCCUUCCUCCACAAGAGUAUAUAAAGACUACUGAGAGUUACUCUUAGACAAGCCGAGCUGUGAAGAAGAUUGAGACAACAGCUGCCUGGAAGAAGCUGUGGCCAGCCAAACUAGAAGAAGCAAAGACUAACCAAGCUACCUGGGAACCCAGACCAAUGGAGCCAUUUGGAAAGGACUCUUUCUGACCUGUUCAGCUGCCUUCAGCUGUGCACUGUGCUCCAGGUUUCCCAGAUUUUGUGAGCUGACACUCAUGCUGGGGUGGGCUUUGGUGACACAGCUGUCUUUGAGUCAUUUCUGCUCCUGUAAGUGACCCCCCACUCACAUUCCUGUAAGGAACCCCAAUAAAACUCAUUGGUUCACCAA